rnacentral:rRNA from 1 species
UACGGAGGGCGCGAGCGUUGUCCGGAAUCACUGGGCGUAAAGGGCGCGUAGGCGGCCUGAUAAGUAGGGGGUGAAAUCCUGCGGCUUAACCGCAGGGCUGCCUUCUAAACUGUCAGGCUCGAGCACAGUAGAGGCAGGUGGAAUUCCCGGUGUAGCGGUGGAAUGCGUAGAGAUCGGGAAGAACAUCAGUGGCGAAGGCGGCCUGCUGGGCUGUUGCUGACGCUUAGGCGCGACAGCGUGGGGAGCAAACAGG